rnacentral:pre_miRNA from 1 species
UUUAUGCGGCAGCAUAGGACUGAAUUGUGGGAGGACUUAUAUGAUUCUACCCCUUUUCAUUUUUAUGCUGCUGUCUCG